ACUUUCCCUUUUGCGCCGCGCUCUGUCUUCUCCGCGCUCGCGGGCCUGACCCUAGCGGCAUCCCCAGUACCUUGAUCCGGCGGGGGGCGCGCCACAGGAGAGCCAGGAGGGCGGGAGAUCCCCGUACGAGGACCGGGCUGAGGCGAGGCAGUGGGGGAAAUGGAGCCGGGGUAUCAUUCAUUCUAUUUUAUUUAACUUUAAGCAGGGCUUGAUCAGAAAGAAGAGCUCAGAGGAGUGAGGCAACACCAACACCAGGGCGUACGAUACACCCGAGGCUCCUCCGACACCAGUUCCAGCCCGGAAGGGCUUGGAAUGGCCUGCCACGCCGGGGCAAUGGAGCGCGUGAAAGCCAAACCUUGGGACCCGAAGAGUAAUUUGACUGCGAAGGCACCGUCAUCGUCGGGCACCCCCUGUAGACGGGCGCAUAAUAGCUACAUCUCUGGAGAUAGUGAUGGAAACUGGGGUCCGAUAGAUGGAGAGAAGGACGUAGGAUAAGGCUUCUUGUGGGGUGAAGAGGCAGAGGGCACCUGGAGAGAGGUGUGGCAUGGAGAACCAGGGGUUUUCCCUAGCAGAGGGCGGCUUCGUGGACUUCGGCCAACCGGCGGGUGCUUCCCUCGAGCGGCCGCUAGAUGGUGGUGCUGUUCUGGAUGCUUCCAGUGGGCCCCGACCAGGUCUGGACAAUGCCUGGCGCCCGUCCCCCGCCCCUCAUCUACACACACGCAAGAAUUCGGAGCUCCAUGGGGAACAGAAGCAAGAUAUCCGUAAAAUCAAAGUCUAGGGGGUGGGAAUGAAAAGGGAAAAGUGAGGAACGGGGAGCCAAACCCAGGAAGACGCCUCUGUUCCUGCACAUUCCCUCUCC
rnacentral:lncRNA from 1 species